rnacentral:rRNA from 1 species
CCCUUAGAUGUUCUGGGCCGCACACGCGCUACACUGAAGGAGGCAGCGUGUACUCCUGGAUCGAAAGAUUUGGGUAACCCGCGAAUCUCCUUCGUGCUAGGGAUUGAGGUUUGCAAUUAUCCUUCAUGAACGAGGAAUUCCCAGUAAGUGCAAGUCAUAAGCUUGCGCUGACUACGUCCCUGCCCUUUGUACACACCGCCCGUCGCUACUACCGAUUGAAUGAUUUAGUGAGGACUUCGGACUGGGACCGAUGCGGCUUUCGGGCUGCGUCGGUAUUCUGGAAAGAUGUCCAAACUGUAUCAUUUAGAGGAAGUAAAAGUCGUAACU